UUAACACAUGCAAGUCGAGCGAGGAAAUUCCUUCGGGGAUUUCCUAGCGGCGGACGGGUGAGUAACACGUGGGCAACCUGCCUGAUAGAGGGGGAUAGCCUCCCGAAAGGGAGAUUAAUACCGCAUAAAGUCAAAUGAAGGCAUCUUCAAAUGACCNNNNNNNNNNACGCGAGCUGGGUUCAGAACGUCGUGAGACAGUUCGGUCCCUAUCCGUCGCGGGCGUAGGAAAUUUGAGAGGAGCUGUCCUUAGUACGAGAGGACCGGGAUGGACUGACCUCUGGUGUACCAGUUG
rnacentral:ncRNA from 1 species